rfam:Clostridium butyricum E4 str. BoNT E BL5262 CLP.Contig69, whole genome shotgun sequence.
AAGUAUUAAUGGCAAAAUUAGAGAAAUCUAAUGACGCAAAGCUAUAGGAGCUAAAGUUAAAAAACUAUGCUAGCCAGUUGCUAAC